rnacentral:misc_RNA from 1 species
GUACCGCGCGCGCGUCGAGGCCGAGCUCUCCGGGAUAUGCACGGGGAUCCUGCGCCUCCUCGAUGGGCGCCUCGUGCCGGCGGCGGCGGCCGUGGACGCCAGGGUCUUCUACCUCAAGAUGAAGGAGGACUACCACCGCUACCUCGCCGAGUUCAAGACUGGCGCCGAGCGCAAGGACGCCUACUCGCCUCGUCUUCUCCAAUCUCCACACACACUCUCACUGCGCAAAACGAGCAGGCGGGCGGGCAACCAACCAACCAACCCCCACUCGCCUCCCUCUCCCUCGCCGUUGCCGCUGAGCACCGCGCCGCGGGUUCCCCGUCGCCAUGGAGAGCGCCCACAAGAUCGGAGGCGGGAGCGCGCCCGGUAA